GGCGUCGGCGUCGGCGUCGGUGUCGGCGUCGGCGUCGGUGUCGGCGUCGUCGUCGAUGUCAUCGUGUGUGUUACUUGUUGCUAAAAAUUAAUAUUUAACAUGAGAAAAUAUGGCAAAACCACAUCUUGAAUUAAAUUAUUUUUAUACAAAAGUAAGAAUUAUAAAUUAUAAGAGAAUUUUAUUAUAUUCUGUAAAUAUCAAAAUAUGUUCUCGUAAUAAUUCAAAUUACAAAUGCACGUUCACGAAUUAAUAUUUUUUAAAAAUUUUUAGAAAUGUGAAGUGUUAAAUGUACAACUAUUUUUAUUGCUUCGGAAAAUUUUUUAUUAAGAUAAAAACAAGGAAUUUGAUUAAAUCUCUGAUUUCAUGGGUAACAUUUUGUAGUAUAUUAGAACAUUUUAGAUUUUCAGAUUUUAGCGAGUAUGAAGCUUCAAUUGAUGUCUUGUUAGUACAAAAAAAAUAAAACAAAAAAUCAAAGAUGCAGGAACCUAUUUUAAAAUUAUUUUAUGACUAUUAAUUUGCAGCAGCGAUGCAAUCUAUGUAUAAUUUGAUAUAUCAUGAACACGCGUGAAAAAUGAUAAGGAAUCAUUUGAAACAGAUUAAUCUGGAUCCUUGACGAAAAUCAGUAAUUAAUCUUUCUUUUUGCCGAUCGAUUAAUAGGUUGAAAUCUAUUACCUGCUUGCAACAAACUUUCGGGACAUUGCCCUCGAAGCCACAAUGUAAUUCCCUAAGGAUCUGCUGUACCUGUGGUGAUAGUGGUCUUGCGGCAUUUCUCAAGAUGGUUGUAAUCUCCGAACAGUUGUGGAUGUUGAUGCAAAUAGCACUCCUAUCUGAGCACCCAUAUUCUGUAAGAAUAAAUCAUUUAUUUUAAUCAAUAUUUAUUAGGUAAUAGUUUUCUAAACGAAAAAUUCAAAUUUUAUUGAAGUUGGAUAAGUUUUAGAAUGUAUCUGGUAUACCAAUUUUCAGACAUACACAUAUUAUGUUUGAAAUGUUCAAAUAAUUUGUAAUAUCUCAACUCGAGCAUUUAUUUGAAAAACCUCGAUAUAAAUGUACAAUCAGGGUUAGAUAAAUGUAUUUGGUUUUAAACAUAUUAAUGAAUUGUGUCUAAUUUAUCCUUACUUUUUAUAAUAAGUGCACGUUUUUCAAAAGGUUUAAUGAAGAAAUACUCCUCUGUAGAAUUUUCUUACAAAGGAAGAAAGAUCAAAUAAGUAUCCAUUUUUGGAUGUAAAUGCCCAUGCAACGAAUUGAUGUUUAAUAAGUUACUCACGUGCAUUGAUUGUUGAUAGACCGACAAAAAGGACCAACAAACUGAUGAACAUGGUGUUUAUUUGUGAUGUCAGAAAGAAACUCUUUGUUAAUCAAUUUUGAAAUAGCUGUUUUUUUUCCUCUUCUCUCUCUCUCUUUCUUUCUCUCAUGGAUCGGGGCAAGUCGGAGUUCUUCCUAUUUCGCGAGUCUCUAAUCGACUAAGCUGUUCAGUUGCUUGGAGGCUGUACUAAAUCCGUUGAUUUGGUGGGGAUAAUUCAUAACGGUUUAUUAUGAUAGCUGUGAUUCGUUACUGAUUAAAGUUGUAUCACACGAUACAUGUUCGAAAAUUUGAAAGCUUUUUUGAGAAAGAAUUUUGCCAUCUUUUAUGAAAAUAAUUACGUGCUUAUAGAGAAUAAAUUUUUCUUUUGAAUUACGUGCUUCUGAUAAAUUCAGAAUCGAUCUUCAACUAGAAAGAAUUGCACAAUUUUUAUUAGACAGCUUUCGUAAAUUUCUAAAAUUUGUCGAUAUCAUGAUUUUUGUAAUUAUUAAAAGAAUUUCCCAGAAACAUUGCUGUUUGAUUAUGCUCACACAAAAGCGUUGUGCGUGUUGUUGACUGUUGCAUCGAUUAUUUCUCUUUUUCUUAAAAUACAGAAUGUGUAAUAUUUAGAAAUUUAAUAAUGUUAAUUAAUUACUUAUUCUUUCUAGCGCAGUUAUGUUACAUUCCUUUGUGUUUUUCGAAAUUGCUUGGCGUAGACUACUGUAACAUCAUAGCGAUAAGUCAAAUUCCACAAUAACUCGCGCACAUUGAUAACCCCAGGGGCAAGUAAAAUGCGAAUGUCUAACAACAUUAUCGUCGAUCACAUAAUUUUGCGAUCCGACGAUUUGUGAUUUUAUGUUUUUCUCAAAAGUAAUUUUAAUUUUCAGAAAAUUGAUUUGUUUUUUAUAUUAUUAUAUAAACAGUUAAAAAUGUGGAUAAGUAUUAUAAUGUUGCGCAAGCAACGUUGCGAUUUAUUGAUAGUCAAUAUGUUUCUCGAAAAUUUUAAAUCUUAUGUGACGCGCAUCAAGCAUCAUAUUAUAAUUAAGAUAAUCACAUUAUGAAAAAACAAGGAUAAAAAUAAAGAAAGUAAUAUAAGUAAUGUAACGAUAUAUAAGAAAGAUAAUGUAAAUGUUGAAUAUUAUUUCAAAUAAAACGGAAUUAUUUAAAAAAUUAUUUAAAACAUUUUAAAAAAAGAUUGUUAAAAUAAGAGAAAAGAAAGAAUAGCGUGUUGAAAAAAGAGAAGGAUAGUUAUUAAUUCAAGAUUGAGAAGAAAUUUUCAUUUUUUUUUAAUGUUAAAAAUAGUUUUUUACACAUUGUCAUUCUUAUAAACUAACAUUUUUUAUGAUCCACUUCUUUAUGCUCAGUUAAUGUUAUGACUUUUAUUCUAAAUUUAUUGCACUUUAUUUGAAUAAAAUAUCUGAUUGUAUUACUAUAAAAUCAUUAUGAGUA